rnacentral:rRNA from 1 species
UGCCAGCCGCCGCGGUAAUACGAAGGGUGCAAGCGUUAAUCGGAAUUACUGGGCGUAAAGCGCGCGUAGGUGGCCAAGUCAGUCAGAUGUGAAAGCCCUGGGCUUAACCUGGGAACUGCAUCUGAUACUGCUUGGCUAGAGUAUGGUAGAGGGGUGUGGAAUUUCCUGUGUAGCGGUGAAAUGCGUAGAUAUAGGAAGGAACACCAGUGGCGAAGGCGACACCCUGGACCGGAACUGACGCUGAUGCACGAAAGCGUGGGUAGCAAACAGGAUUAGAUA